AAAAAAACUAUCGUUAUAAUCUGCUAGUAUUGUAUUGAAUGAUGGCAAUUUAUCAUAUUCAUUAAUUAAACACAUACUCUGAUUUCUUUUUAUACUGAUUCCCCAAUUUGAUGGGUCAUCAUCAACCGUAAAAUUUCGUUUCUCGGAGUCCGGCGUGUUCGACUCUGCGAUUAGUAUCCAUUGUUGUUGAUGUGAUAAAGAAUU
rnacentral:lncRNA from 1 species